AUCUUUGCGCUUGGGGCAAUGACGCAGCUAAUGAGGUUCUAACCGAGGCGCGUCUAUUGCUGGUUGAAAACUAUUUCCAAACCCCCUCUCUGGCCUGUGUCACGGAGUAAGAAGUCUGCUCACCUCAAACUU